rfam:Oryza glumipatula chromosome 3, whole genome shotgun sequence.
AAUAAGUGCAGUUUUGCAUUAUUCACGUUUAACGUUUGACCGUUCGUCUUAUCUGAAAAUUUUUAUGAUUAGUAAUUUUAUUGCUAUUAGAUGAUAAAACAUUAAUAGUACUUUAUAUGUGACUAAAUAUUUUCAAUUUUUUCAUAAAUUUUUCAAAUAAAAUGGACGGUCAAACAUUGGGUACGGAUAUCCAUGGGUGUAUUUAUU